GAUGAACGCUGGCGGCGUGCCUAAUACAUGCAAGUCGAGCGAACGGACGAGAAGCUUGCUUCUCUGAUGUUAGCGGCGGACGGGUGAGUAACACGUGGAUAACCUACCUAUAAGACUGGGAUAACUUCGGGAAACCGUAGCUAAUACCGGAUAAUAUUUUGAACCGCAUGGUUCAAAAGUGAAAGACGUUCUUGCUGUCACUUAUAGAUGGAUCCGCGCUGCAUUAGCUAGUUGGUAAGGUAACGGCUUACCAAGGCAACGAUGCAUAGCCGACCUGAGAGGGUGAUCAGCCACACUGGAACUGAGACACGGUCCAGACUCCUACGGGAGGCAGCAGUAGGGAAUCUUCCGCAAUGGGCGAAAGCCUGACGGAGCAACGCCGCGUGAGUGAUGAAGGUCUUCGGAUCGUAAAACUCUGUUAUUAGGGAAGAACAUAUGUGUAAGUAACUGUGCACAUCUUGACGGUACCUAAUCAGAAAGCCACGGCUAACUACGUG
rnacentral:rRNA from 1 species